rnacentral:rRNA from 1 species
AAACUUAAAUGAAUUGACGGGGGCCCGCACAAGCAGUGGAGUAUGUGGUUUAAUUCGAAGCAACGCGAAGAACCUUACCAGGUCUUGACAUCCAACUAACGAGGCAGAGAUGCGUUAGGUGCCCUUCGGGGAAAGUUGAGACAGGUGGUGCAUGGUUGUCGUCAGCUCGUGUCGUGAGAUGUUGGGUUAAGUCCCGCAACGAGCGCAACCCUUGUGAUUAGUUGCUACGCAAGAGCACUCUAAUCAGACUGCCGUUGACAAAACGGAGGAAGGUGGGGACGACGUCAAAUCAUCAUGCCCUUUAUGACCUGGGCUACACACGUACUACAAUGAUCGUUAACAGAGGGACGCAAGACCGCGAGGUGGAGCAAACCCUAAAAACGGUCUCAGUUCGGAUCGCAGGCUGCAACCCGCCUGCGUGAAGUUGGAAUUGCUAGUAAUCGCGGAUCAGAAUGCCGCGGUGAAUACGUUCCC